GACGAACGCUGGCGGCGUGCUUAACACAUGCAAGUCGAACGGAAAGGCCCUGCUUUUGUGGGGUGCUCGAGUGGCGAACGGGUGAGUAACACGUGAGUAACCUGCCCUUGACUUUGGGAUAACUUCAGGAAACUGGGGCUAAUACCGGAUAGUAGCUCCUGCUGCAUGGUGGGGGUUGGAAAGUUUCGGCGGUUGGGGAUGGUCUCGCGGCUUAUCCGCUUGUUGGGGGGGUAGUGGCUUACCGAGGCUUUGACGGGUCGCCGGCCUGAGAGGGUGACCGGCCACAAUGGGACUGCGAUACGGCCCAGACUCCUACGGGGGGCAGCAGUGGGGAAUAUUGCACAGUGGGCGGAAGCCUGAGGAAGCAACGCCGCGUGCGGGAUGACGGCCUUCGGGUUGUAAACCGCUUUCGCCUGUGACGAAGCGUGAGUGACGGUAAUGGGUAAAGAAGCACCGGCUAACUACGUG
rnacentral:rRNA from 1 species